UACAGAGGAUGCAAGCGUUAUCCGGAAUGAUUGGGCGUAAAGCGUCUGUAGGUGGCUUUUUAAGUCCGCCGUCAAAUCCCAGGGCUCAACUCUGGACAGGCGGUGGAAACUACCAAGCUGGAGUACGGUAGGGGCAGAGGGAAUUUCCGGUGGAGCGGUGAAAUGCGUAGAGAUCGGGAGGAACACCGGUGGCGAAGGCGGUUCUCUGGGCCUGUACUGACGCUGAGGAGCGAAAGCGUGGGGAGCAAACAGG
rnacentral:rRNA from 1 species